UACGUAGGGGGCAAGCGUUGUCCGGAUUUAUUGGGCGUAAAGAGCGUGUAGGCGGCCAUACAGGUCCGUUGUGAAAACUCGAGGCUUAACCUCGAGACGUCGAUGGAAACCGUAUGGCUAGAGUCCGGAAGAGGAGAGUGGAAUUCCUGGUGUAGCGGUGAAAUGCGCAGAUAUCAGGAAGAACACCCGUGGCGAAGGCGGCUCUCUGGGACGGUACUGACGCUGAGAAGCGAAAGCAUGGGGAGCGAACAGG
rnacentral:rRNA from 1 species